UGUCGGUUCUUCUCUCUCUUUUUCCUCCCACACCAGAACCUUUUCUUCUCUCUUUUUCCUCUUCCGAAUUUUUUCUUACCCAAGUUAUAUUAAAGAUCAUGAGAAGAACAUCGUUUAUGUUUGUUCUGAAGAACGGAAACCAUUAUAGUCACUUCUUCUUUGAUCGUUCUUAUUCAACUAUAUUUCGUUGAUGUUAGGGUUAUAACUAAUUGUUCUUGUGAGAAUUCUUUUUUUUUUUAGUUUCUGCAAUUUCAGAAGGAGCUAUUAGAAGACCGAUUGAUCAUCAAUAAUGGUUCACAAGGAUUCUAAGUAUGUCUUCGUUGAGAGGAGGAACUGGAGUUGGAAAACAGAUGUAUGUCUUCAUUGUGUGCAUGAAGUGUCUCACUUAAUAAUUACUGGACGAUUUUUGUUUUUAUGAUCUUAUGUAUGUUGGUACAUUUCUUGUCGGUAUGGAUGCAGUUCAUUUGGUUAUAAAGUCAGAGAUAAAGUUAAUCGAAAUGAUUGUCUUUCUCACUGAAUUAGAGUUGUCCUUCAAGGUGAUGGACCUCUCUAUGGAGAUGCGGUGGACUUGUUUGCUCAAAGUUUUCUUGUUGCUGUUAGCGGUAAUAUGAUGAGUCCAAUAUGCAACAACUCUUGUCUGCUUUGUCGUUUGAGUCAUGUUCAUAAUCUGGCAGAUGGAUGGUAUCGAUGAAUGUACACUAGAUUAUUUGUCCAUGGAUUUGUGGUGAUGUUCUCAAGCAUUGGGAACUUGUUAAUAGUUGUUUGUUGUUCUUUAAGUGUUGGCUCAGUUCAUCAUCUGGUAGGAUCUCGUUUUGCUGGUUCACAAAACAUAGUUCAGGCCUUUUUUUUUUUUUCUUUUGUGAUUCCGAAUCUAAGUGUAAAUAGAGUUCAGUUAUGAAUUGUGUAACAAAUACAAUGGGUUUUAUUCAACCAUUUGAAUUU